rnacentral:rRNA from 1 species
GAUGAACGCUAGCGGCAGGCUUAAUACAUGCAAGUCGAACGGCAGCACAGUGUAGCAAUACAUGGGUGGCGAGUGGCGCACGGGUGCGUAACACGUAUGCAAUUUACCCAUAACUGGGGGAUAGCCUUCCGAAAGGAAGAUUAAUACCCCAUAACCCAGCGAAGUGGCAUCACUUUUCUGGUAAAUCUCCGGAGGUUAUGGAUGAGCAUGCGCCCGAUUAGCUAGUUGGCGAGGUAACGGCUCACCAAGGCAACGAUCGGUAGGGGGUCUGAGAGGAUGAUCCCCCACACGGGUACUGAGACACGGACCCGACUCCUACGGGAGGCAGCAGUAAGGAAUAUUGGACAAUGGAGGCAACUCUGAUCCAGCCAUGCCGCGUGAAGGAUGGAGGCGCUACGCGUUGUUAAACUUCUUUUCUCUUAAGAAAAACUCUUUGGUUUCGUACCGAGACUGAUUGUACAAGAGGAAUAAGCAUCGGCUAACUUCGUGCCAGC